rnacentral:rRNA from 1 species
GACGAACGCUGGCGGCGUGCCUAAUACAUGCAAGUCGAACGCAUUUUCUUUCACCGUAGCUUGCUACACCGAAAGAAAAUGAGUGGCGAACGGGUGAGUAACACGUGGGUAACCUGCCCAUCAGCGGGGGAUAACACUUGGAAACAGGUGCUAAUACCGCAUAAUUCCAUUUACUGCAUGGUAGAUGGAUGAAAGGCGCUUUUGCGUCACUGAUGGAUGGACCCGCGGUGCAUUAGCUAGUUGGUGGGGUAACGGCCUACCAAGGCUGCGAUGCAUAGCCGAACUGAGAGGGUGAUCGGCCACACUGGGACUGAGACACGGCCCAGACUCCUACGGGAGGCAGCAGUAGGGAAUCUUCGGCAAUGGACGCAAGUCUGACCGAGCAACGCCGCGUGAGUGAAGAAGGUUUUCGGAUCGUAAAACUCUGUUGUUAGAAAAGAACAAGGAUGAGAGUGGAAAGUUCAUCCCUUGACGGUAUCUAACCAGAAAGCCACGGCUAACUACGUG